UACAUAGGGUGCAAGCGUUAUCCGGAAUUAUUGGGCGUAAAGCGUUCGUAGGUGGUUUAUUAAGUCUGAAGUUAAAGCCCGGGGCUCAACCCCGGCCCGCUUUGGAUACUGAUAGACUAGAAUUACAGAGAGGUAAGUGGAACUCCAAGUGAAGCGGUGGAAUGCGUAGAUAUUUGGAAGAACACCAAUGGCGAAGGCAGCUUACUGGAUGUAUAUUGACACUGAGGGACGAAAGCGUGGGGAGCAAACAGG
rnacentral:rRNA from 1 species